rnacentral:rRNA from 1 species
GCCUAAACUAACCCCAUACUCCUCUCCCCCUUCAAUAAAAUAAAAAACAUUUUAAGUUUUAAGUAGAGGCGAUCGAAAAAUUUUAUAGCGCAUCAGAAGUAGUACCGCAAGGGAAAGAUGAAAUAGAAAUUAAAUAAUCUAAAGCCUAUUAAAGCAGAGCUUACAACUCGUACCUUUUGCAUCAUGGUCUUGCUAGUCCAACCAAGCAAAAAGAACUUUUAGUUUGCCUCCCCGAAACUAAGCGAGCUACUUUAAAACAACUCAAAGAGCCAACCCGUCUCUGUAGCAAGAGAGUGGGAAGAUUUUAAAGUAGAAGUGAAAAGCCUAACGAGCUUAGAGAUAGCUGGUUAUUCAAGAAAAGAAUUUUAGUUCUACCUUAAACUCUCUUAUGUCUAAUCACAAAAUAAAAAGUUUAAGAGCUAUUCAAUUAAGGCACAGCUUAAUUGAAACAGGAUACAACCUAAUUUAUAGGGUAAAUAAUUUAUAACUCAUAAGUGGGCCUAACAGCAGCCACCUUUUUAAAAGCGUUAAAGCUUAAAUAAAAAACUAAUUUAAUUUUCUUAUUUACAAUGAACCCUUAACAAAUAUUGAAUGAUUCUAUACAAUAUAGAAAACAUUAUGCCAGAACUAGUAACAAGAAUUAGCCAUUCUCCAAAAUGUAAGAAUAAACCAAAAUGGACAUACCAUUGGUAAUUAACGAAACUAACCCUAAUAUAGCAAAUUACAAGCAAACCCUAUAUGCCUCACCGUUUACCUAACACAAGAACAUUAAUGGAAAGAUUUAAAGGAAAAGAAGGAACUCGGCAAAUCAAACCCCGCCUGUUUACCCAAAACAUCGCCUCUUGAUAAAAUAUAAGAGGUCCCGCCUGCCCAGUGAAACUUAAACGGCCGCGGUACCCUAACCGUGCGAAGGUAGCAUAAUCACCUUGUUCUUUAAAUAGGGACUAGUAUCAACGGCAUCACGAGGGUUAAUCUGUCUCCUUUUUCUAAUCAGUGAAACUGAUCUUCCCGUGAAGAAGCGGGAAUAAAAUCAUAAGACGAGAAGACCCCAUGGAGCUUUAAACCAUACGGCAACUUAGUUAAAUAGACCACCAUAUCUACUAAAAACAUGCACGUCGGCUUUAGGUUGGGGUGACCACGGAGAAUAAAACAACCUCCAUGACGGAAAGACCUAAAUCUUUAUCCAAGAAUCACUAUUCAAAGAAUUAGCAUACUAACGUAUAAUGAUCCGAUUUUUCGAUCAACGAACCAAGUUACCUGGGGAUAACAGCGCAAUUACUUCAAGAGCCCCUAUCGACAGUAGGCUUACGAUCGAUGUUGGAUCGGGUAUCCUAGUGGUGCGCCGCUACUAAAGGUUCGU